rnacentral:lncRNA from 1 species
AUUUGAAUGAAAAAUCAAAGAAUAUUUUACACUUUAACCUCUAAUUGGUAAUAUCUAUUUUAAUUUUGUACUAAAUUUCUUAAAUGGACCAAUCCAGUAUCCAAACACUAACUUGUAAACAAAUCAAUCCUUUCAUGCCAAAAAAAAAAUAGUGCACAUAAAUUGCAUUCGCUUCUACGCAAACAACAACUACUAAUGUUUAAACUAUUUAUGGUGUAUUGUAGUGAGAAAAAUGCUAGUGGUACAUAAUAGAAUGUACCUAAGGGUGUACAUCCCCUUCACAUGGGGUGUGGGGUCCACUCGAAUAAAUGUUUUUUAUUUGGGUGGAUCCCACACUCCAUGUGAGAGGGGUGUACACGCUUAGGUACACCCCUGUGUACCACUAGCACCACCGAAUAAAAAUUAUGCAGUCUCGUCAACUUUACUUAGCCUAUGUACUAUCUCAUGUUUAUAAACUAUUUAUAAACACCAAGGUCACUUUUACCCACAUAUCUCGAGCGACCCACAAAUUUUUUCAUUUAAUCAACAAUUAUUCUAUCUAUUCAUGAUUUAAUCCAUUUUUAAGUAUUUCCCAAACAUGCUAUUAAUUUACAAAAAUGUUUGGAUUAUUCGAAGAAAAAUCUCUGUAAAAAUGACAUCCCAUCUUAUUUGUUCUUAUUCAAAUCUUCUUAACCCAUGGUCUGAAAUAUUAGAUUAACAGAAAUGUUGGGUGUACCCUGCCAACACUCACAAAUAAUGGGUCCCACACCGAACCCAUUUGUCUCAAAAAAAAAAAAAAAAUUGGACCCGAUCUUAUAUUUAUUUCUUGAUCUCUUUAAUUAUGUUUAAAUGUAUUUAAGUGCCAAC